CUGUCUGGUUAAAAGCUGCUGUAUAAAUAAAGUCUUGUUGUCUUGUGCGGUUCUGAUCCGUUUGGACCGGAUUCUCCGCCUCAGGGUUUAAAGCUAAAGACGGCGUGGCGGAGAUGGUGAGAGCCUUCCUGGAGAACAAGGUGAAGGUGGACGAGUUCAUCACCCACAACAUGGCGCUGGAGCAGGUCAACGACGCCAUAGAGCUGAUGAGGAACUCCCAAUGCAUCCGGGCCGUCAUGAAGGUUUCUCCUGAGUAGAACCGGAGCCGGUUCUGAUGUCUGGUUUUACUCUGGGUUUUUAUCCUCCACCGUCAGCUUCACGGUGCCUCACUGUUUCAGGGUGGCACAGGAAACGUAUAGAUUAAAUCACAUCAGAGGAAACCCUGAGUGUUUCUCAGUUCGACAGUCAGAGCUGGGAUGGAGGGAGGAGAGUGCCGAAACAUCUCAGAAGAAAUGAUCACAUUAAUCAAUAAUUUACCAGAAAUGAACCGUUUACCAGUGAAUGAUUACACAUUAAAAAGAUAAAACAUU